AGUUCCCCACAGCACAGAGAGGAAGCAAGGUCUUUGCAUGCCCUGUUCACUUGGCCAAACAUUGCCCUAGAUGUGCAAUUCAACCCAUAUAAAGCAAGCGUAAUUCAAGAGCCCUGACUCUUUCACCAUUUCAUGAUGGCUUAUUACUCGCACACGGCAUUGUCAGGUUCCAGCAACUCUGUGUGCAGCAGGCAGAAAUGCAGUGUUUAUCUCUGACAGGCAAACAUUCUUAGGCUCAUCGGCAUGAGUAUCCACGCUGAACUGGCUAUCGGGGAAGUAGAUCCCUGCAUGGGAAAGUCAAGUAUCCCCACUGUGUAGAGCUGGUCCACAAUGGAGAGGAGGAAAAGUUUUGCAUUGGACCAAAUCACUGCCUUAGAAGGAAAGAGAUUGCAAUCCCAUUCAUUUUUAAGAUCUGCAAUGGGUUGGGAUGAUACCCAUUUAAAAAAGAAAAAAAAAGAGGUUACCUCUUUGGCCUCUUUGGCAAAGGAUAUGAACUAGUAAUAAAGCCUCAGCAUCAAGGCUUGGGAGUCUGGCUCAAAGUGGCUAAGACUAGAAGCAUCUUCUAACAUAAAUAUGGCAGCAUUAGGAAAAUAGCUUGGCCUUUAGAGAGACCCAGAUUAUCUUCACCUUAAAAACUACCAAGACCCUGGUCCAGCAAGACCACCAUCACAGCAGUAAAUACAUAGCCACCAACUUCACAGAAGGUUUUCCACUGAGACAUUGUGAAAACCACAAUCCAUUACCGGUGGAUGAGUCCCAGCUCUCUUACUACCUGGAGCUUCCAAGCAAGACUUACCUGUCCUUUGUUCCAGAUUGGUUCCUGGGAUCCUGGACCAACACAAAGAGAAGAGGAAAGCCUCAAGGGAAAUAAAAGUGAAGGUUUCAGUGAUAGUUUAAAUAUAUAUUUUUAAAUGUUAGCUUUUUUUUAAAUACUUCACAGUGAUGGAUGGAGUAUUUCAACCACAAUGGCAAAGAAUGAAUUACCGGCAGUGUCAGAGUUUCUUGUUGCUGUGGGAAGACAGCUGCCAUGUUGAGAGGUGCCUUGUGGAGAGGCUCAUGUGGCGAGGAACUGAGACUGGCUUCUAUCCAACAACCAGUGAGGAACUAAGGCCCUAAAGUCCUAUAGUCCACAAGGAACUAAAUCCUACCAACAACUACAUGAGUGAGCCUGGAAUCUGAUUUUCCCCAGUGGGGACUUAAGGUACCUACAACCUGGCUGUUAUGGGCUAAACUGCAUCCUGCCCAAAUUUAUAUGUUUGAGUCUUAACUCCCAGCACUUCAGAACAUGGUUUUGUUUGGAGACAUAGUCAUUAAAGAGGUAAUGAAGUUAAAAUGAGGUCAUUAGGAUGAGUCCUAAUCCAAUAGGACUGGUGUUCUUAUAUGAAGAGGAAAUUUGAACACAGACACAUAUACAGGAAAGACCAUGCGAAGAAGACACAGAGAGGAAACGGCCAUCUACAAUCCAAGGAGAGAGGCCUCAGAACAAGCCAACCCUGCAGAUACCUUGAUCUAGGCAUCCAGAAUUAUAAGACACUGAGUCGUGAAAAGGCUAAGUACCUCACACAAGAUCACACAGCCAGUGACAGAACUAGGAUUUGGCUGGACUCUUAAAGACUCUGGUUUGCCAUUUAAAGGUACGCUGAGCUCCACAACACUGCCUUAGAACUUGCUCAGAGCAAUUGUCAUAUUACUAUGGUAGGUUUCCCUGUCUCCCUUAAGACUUAAAGCUUCUGGAGAUCAGAAACUGUAUUGUUUACUUGCAAAAUCAUGGGCUUAGGAGCCAGAAAGAUCUCGAUCUAAGUCCUGCCUCAUCUGCUUCUUCUUCAUGGGAUUAGUAGACUGAUUUUCCCCUUGCUUAGCCAUGCAGUUUGAAUGGAAUUCACCCCAUUCUCAGCUACAACCACGGAUCUUGUUUGCUUUAAACCAAUCAUCACUGCCCAAUUUUCUGGCCUUUGAUUGAUUUAAAGGUGAACACAUGACCGCUUUGGACCAAUGAGGCUCAGGUGGUAUUUUGUGAGGGUCUCUGGAAUAGAAAAUCAUUUCUCUUCUGACAGAACUACAAGGCAAGGCGCAAUCACUGAUGGUGAAAGAUAAAGAUCAUUAUAUUAGGAACUGUUGGCUGUCAUACUGCUAAUGUGAGGUGAGUUAGCCUUAGAAAGAGGAUGCUACCUUGAAAGGCAGGGCAGAUCUAUGGAAAUAAACUGAGUUUGUGGUGACAUUGAUAGCCACUUUAGUUCAUCAGCUGAAUCCCAAUCUACUUGGUUUUUUCAGCUCUGUAAGCCAACAAAUACCCUGCUAGUGUUUUAGCCUAUGCCAGUUGUUUUUUCUGCUGCUUGUUAAUAAGACACAUACAGUCUUGGACAAAUUAUAUAAAAAUAUGAAUCUUUGGCCAGGCAUGGAGGCUCACGCCUGUAAUCCCAACACUUUGGGAGGCCGAAGCGGUCGGAUCACAGGGUCAGGAGUUCGAGACCAGCCUGGCCAAUAUGGUGAAACCCCGUCUCUACUAAAAAUACAAAAAUUAGCUGGAUGUGGUGGCACAUGCCUGUUGUCCCAGCUACUCAGGAGGCUGAGGCAGAAGAAUCGCUUGAACCCGGGAGGCAGAGGUUGCAGUGAGCUGAGAUCAUGCCACUGAACUCCAGCCUGGGAGACAGAAUGACACUCGGUCUCAAAAAAAAAAAAAAAUUCUGAAUCUUUGAAUGUUAUCGUAUAGCUUUUUAAAAGACUAGAUUAAGCUAUGGAUGUAAGCACCAAUGCAUUUUUUUAAAAGUAUAUUGGAUGAAUGAGUUAAAGUCUAAGUGAAUUCAGCAAGUUUGUAACCCUUGAGCUCUUGUGAGCUCAAUCUGCCCUCAAUCAUCUGAGAAUGAACAAAACAGACUCAACCAUUUUGUGUCAUCCAGAUGAAUAGAAAGGGCCUGAAUAUAUUCUUUUUUUAUAUUUUUUGUCAUAGGCCCUAGCGUUUUCAUCUGCUCAGUUUUUGAGUGUGCUUGUUAGGGCUUUAAUGCUAAACUCAAUGUAAGCUGGGUUUAUGUAAUUUAGUGGUUUCUAGACUUAGGCUUCCUAAAUGUUCCAUUAGACAAGAAGACAAAAUAUGAAACAAAAUAACAUCAAACUACCAUUAACAAUUAGCAUUGUCAGAGUCAGUAAAAACUGUUUUGAAAUAAAGCAGCUUUUCAGGCCAGUAUUUGAGAACUAAUGAUAGAGUUUUUUUGUAGGCAAUGAAUGAAGUGUUGUGGAACAAAUGUGGAUUUGGACUUUCAAGACCAACUUGAACCAGAGUCUUGAAUCUGCAACUUUACUAGCUGUGGCUUCUUUUUAAUUGAUUAACUUUCUUUUUCUGUAAAAUGGGAAUAAUGAUUCCUACCUCUUACAAGCGUUGUGGUAGGAGGUAUUCCAAAUGAGAUAAAUAUGUGAAAUCACUAAAACUUCCAGAAUACAUGGAAAUAAUAUAUGUCUGUAUUGGCAAAUUAUGAGUGUAGUAAUGAGGGAUUUACAUGGACACAUUUACAUUCUUUAGUUCAGACUCCCUUUGACGACACAUAACAAACACACACAAGAAUAUUUGCCCUGUGUCCAGCACUCUUUUGAGAAUUUCUCUCUUCUCCUCCUUCUGAUAUCCCAACCAACCAACCAGUAGGAAUGUGCCCUAGAAACUAUGUUUUACAGCUCAGUCCACAUCUUUUCACCUUACAAAUUACUUAUUGUUAGUUUCUUGGGAAAGUAAAAUUGAGAUAUUAAGAUUCUAUGAAAUUGGUUGGUGGUAUUGAAGACUGUGCUGCUGCUGCUGCUACUGCUCCAGAACUCUAGUGGAGAUAUUACAAAUGGGAGCAGAAAAAGUGAGAAGGUGGUCUGUAGAGACAGAGCACAGCACAGAGGUAGAAAGGUUGAGAUAAAGAAACAAUGCAGUGAGAGAAGGAGAGAACACAGACAUAGAAACAGAGACAUAAAGGCACCAGACACGAGAGCAGAGAUAAUUUAAUAAGGCCGUAGUUUCUCUUGGAUUUCCAGUUCCUUCUUUUAGUCAAUUCUGAUAUUUAGCACACUGCACUGCACCAGAUAUCUUGUCGCCUUCAAAUAAAGUAUUUUUCCCCCUUAAACAUGCUAAUUUGGGCUUGUAUUAUUUGCAAUCAAUAGAAUUGAGAAAAACACUCUAUGUCAUAUCUGAACUAGUAUAUCAGAAUGGUUUUCUGCCAUUGGUAACAGAGACCCAGCUCAAUGGCUUAAACACACAAGGGUUUAUCCUGUCACAUUAACAAAAAAAAAAGUGCAGAGUAGCAGUCCGGGGUUGGAAUAGGGUCCACAAAGUCAUCUGGGGCCAGGCUUCAUCUAUCUUUCUCUUACAUCACAAGUGACUUCUGUCUACAAGGCCCCUCAUGGUCCACAAUUGAUUGUUUUUACAACAGCUUUCCAAAGAGCAGAAAGAAAAACAAGUAGAAGAGCUUGUACUUUCUUUUCUAUUUAUGUCACCUCUGCUUACAUCUCACUAGCCAGAUAUAGACAUAUGGCCCCAUCUACCUGCACAGAAAUCUCAGAAAUGUAAUUUUUCAGCUUGGCCAUUGCCCAGGGUUCUGUUACUAGGGAAGAAGGAGAGAAUGAUUAUUGGGAAGUGAGUAGUGAGUAGCAAACUGUAUCCUUUCAGAUAUAUAUAUAUAGCCUCCAAUACUAUCUGCAAGCCCUCAAAAGAAGGGCACUUACCUUGAGUAUAAACGGUGGUCCCUAGUUAUAAGACAACAACUCAACAAUGAGUGUCUCUGUGUAUAUGUAUGUAUAUAUAUAUAUAUAUAUAUAUAUAUAUAUAUAUAAAUGCAUGGAAGAAGUUUUAUUCAUUUACUGUAUAUAGCUCAAAGCACAUAAUCCCUCGGCAUGCAUUCCUUUCAAUAGGGUUCAGCUGUGGUUUCUAUAAGACCAAAAGACAAGUUAUUACCUCCACUAGAUGAAAUAUAAAAUGAUAGUGAAGGGAAUAGGAAAACUACAUUUAAAAAAUCCCUGUGUUGGGGUUGGGAGGAGGGAGAAAAUCUAUAGCUGUUACAGUUUCCCAGCAAUGAUCCAGUUCCGCAGCAAUGACCCAGUUCUCCAGCAAUGAUCCAGUUCUUCAGGUUGGAAACAGCACACACAUGAAAGGAUUGUGGCAAUGGGAAGUUUUCUUGCUGACCUAGCUGGCAGCCCACAGCUCUUGUCCCUGGGACAAUUUCCCAUGGCCAUUGUCUCCCACAGCCUCUUAUACUGGUUGCCCCAGGAGGUUCUUCUUUCUCCAUUGUCUUUCACAACCACAUCUGACAUCACAUUGGAGAGUAUUUCUUUCCUUGGGGUUACCUGCCUUUAGCAGUCCCCUUCCAGGUGGCAUAUGUUUAGCGGCCUGGAAACUUAGGGAUUUUUAUAGUCACAAGCUAUUUCAGGACAGGCUUGGGGUUUCAUCAGCCGUAAAGUUCUCUCAAAAAUUUAGUAGAUUUUAAUCCAUGUGCUGUUAGUAAGUGUCUGUGCAGGUGACUGCGGUAAAAUAUCUUCUUUUGUUUUAAACCUGAAGACUUAUUUCACCUACCAGCCUCCGUACUCUGUCCAUCUGCAAGUCCUCAAAAGAAGGGCUGUUACCUUGAGUACAAACAGUGGUCUCUAGUGAUAAGACAACAACCUAAAUCCCACCUUGCCAGUGACCCACCACACUGGCCAUCUCCUGCUAAGGGUGUUACCAGCUAGCCUGCUUUGGACUGAGGUGCAAACGCAGUUGACUUCCAACCCAACAAAACUCAAAAUUAUUGAAUGUAGACAUAAAUUGCAGGCUUCAGGCAGAGUAGAUCUACAUGAAUAUCAUGGCAUUUCUUUUUAUCUCUUCCAUAGAGUGGCUGACUCUAGCCUGAGGGCAACUCUCACUUAUAGAACAGGCAACACACACCAGCAUAUUGAGUUUUGCCAGUUGUCAGUACUAAAGCAACAUGUCUCCUUUCAGGGAAAGUAGGAAAUCAGAUGUGUCACUUGUGAUUCUGCUCAAUGAGCUUCUUUCUUUUCCAUUUUCUUGAAGCUCUAGACCUGCAGCUGCCAUCAGCCCACAUAGUGUAUUGAGUCAUCUGGAAACCAGACAGAACUUUCUUCCUCCCCACUGGUCAACUUGUCAUGGAGAGCAUGCAAUAAAUUUUUAGAAAUGGGUUGAGGUAGAGCUGGUGGAAAAGGAGGGAGUGAGUUAUCUGCUCAGCCACUUACCCAAGGAGGGCUUCCAGCUCUCCUUAAACCUGUGAGGUGGUGAUUGCCCUGCUUGGCUUCAUGGCCCACACCUCUGCUGUCCAAUUCAGCAGCCAGUAACUAGGCACAUGCGUCCCCUAAGCACUUGAACCUGGCUUGUCUAAAUUGAGAUGUGAUGGAGGUAUAAAAUACACAUUAUACUUUAGACUCAGUACAAAAAAUUGUAAAAUAGCUCGAUAAUUAUAAUUGAUUAUUUUCACUUGGGAGAUUUGAUGAAGCUGAGAAUUCUACUUACAUUGUAAUCCAGCAACCCACUGGAUUCGUCUCUUCCACUGAUAUUUGGCUGCUAGAGAUGAGAUUCCUUGAAAGUAAUCAUUUAAAUGCUAUGGUUUAUUACCAUGACUUAAAUAGAGAAUUUAUAGCUUUGUACCUGACAUUGUUUUUAAAGUUUUUUAGUACAAUUACAAGUGGCCAGCAGUUCUCUCACUUUCUCAAGAGUCAUUCCAGUGCUGUGCUUUUCAUGUCUUAUGACCACUACUUGGUCCACCAAAACUUUGCCUUUAAGAAAGAGGCUAAUACAAAAAGAAAACAAUUCUGCUUUGCAGAAAUAUUUAUGGAUUAUUAUGCCAUAACAGAGAGUAAAUGCUUGGGUAAGGAACACCAAUAUGUCAAAAUGAGCUAAGGUUUGGAAAGAGGUUAUCUGGAGAAAUAUUUACUUUUUUAGACAAAAAGUUUCAAGAUAUUGUCAUUCAAUUUAAAAUAUGUAAUAGGUAUGGAAAUUAGGGGAAUCCUCUAAGCAACUCUGCAAGUUGUGCAAACUUUUAGCUCUAUUUCCUAUGAAACAAAGGGAUUGGACUAGAUGAUGACCAAGAUUCCCUUCCGUUCUGUCUUUGAAUUAUGACAUUUGGGUUAAAUACUGCAGGAGUGUGUGUGUGCAAAAUCCUCUUGAACAAAUUCCCUAAACAGUCCAAAACUCAUAAGGAGUUGCUUGCAUUUGGUUCCUGUCUUUUAAGUCUUAAUGGACACUAGAACACACCAGCUUUCUAUUCUCAGUCAUAACAUAGCUAUAAAUAGAAAAAGUGCUACAGGCUUAUCACUCAGAGUCUCUGCUGGCAGUGACAGCUUUGUGGAAACAGAAGGCAUUAAAAUACUAGCCAAAGGCAAAUUCUUUGUUGAGAUUCUUGAUCAGGUUCUAGAGCAACAUUCCUGGGAACAACACCAUUCCCAACAUCUUCCAUGAUUUUAGCAGAUUCCAUUAUCUGAGAUGAUAUCCCUUUUGCUUUCUUUCUUUUCUUUCUCCCUACAUUCAUAGUCAAAUGCAAUUUUGAAAAUCUAAGUCAUCAUCUGAGGGCCUGAAAUUAUAAUAGUCUCAUUAUCUUUUAUUCAAAAGGGUAGAGGUUACUGUUAUUGUUGCUUUAAUCAAUAUGGAGAACUAGCAACUACAACAUUAG
rnacentral:lncRNA from 10 species